ACACUCCUACGGGAGGCAGCAGUGGGGAAUAUUGCACAAUGGGCGCAAGCCUGAUGCAGCCAUGCCGCGUGUAUGAAGAAGGCCUUCGGGUUGUAAAGUACUUUCAGCGGGGAGGAAGGCGAUAAGGUUAAUAACCUUGUCGAUUGACGUUACCCGCAGAAGAAGCACCGGCUAACUCCGUGCCAGCAGCCGCGGUAAUACGGAGGGUGCAAGCGUUAAUCGGAAUUACUGGGCGUAAAGCGCACGCAGGCGGUCUGUCAAGUCGGAUGUGAAAUCCCCGGGCUCAACCUGGGAACUGCAUUCGAAACUGGCAGGCUAGAGUCUUGUAGAGGGGGGUAGAAUUCCAGGUGGAGCGGUGAAAUGCGUAGAGAUCUGGAGGAAUACCGGUGGCGAAGGCGGCCCCCUGGACAAAGACUGACGCUCAGGUGCGAAAGCGUGGGGAGCAAACAGGAUUAGAUACCCCGGUAGUCCC
rnacentral:rRNA from 1 species